AGGGUUAGAGCUCAGUGGUAGAGCACGUGCUUAGCAUGCAUGAGGUCCUGGGUUCAAUCCCCAGCACUUCCA
rnacentral:tRNA from 1 species